UGCAAUACUUUUGUAUUGAAUUGUACUGUUUGUUUAAACUGUUCGAUAAAGUUAGUUCAAACGCAUCACUUCCUGUUAGCCAGACCAGGAAGUGAAAGCCACAUGUCCACAGCGGUGAAUCAGUACAUGGAUCCACUCGCAUCUACACACAAAGACUGAUGAAUCAAUGUCUUGUUGAAGAUGCUUCACGUGGAUCGAAUGAAAAUCCAAGCACUUUCGACACGGUCCCACUUGACCGGCAUCUGGAGAUGGAGGAUUCGAUGGUGCAACACAGAGACAGGGAGGGAUGCAAGGUGUUGCAAGGUGGAUCUAAGCAAACGUGCCACUGCCUUUGUCUUGAAUGUACGGGAAAAAUUCCACCUCUUACAG